GAAGAGAAGGAAGGCUGUGAAGAAAGGUUACCACAAAAAGCAGUAACACUCAUCUAAUUUUUUCUCCUAUCCCAUCUAAAAUGUGAAUACCAGAAAGUAAGGAUAGCUGGGAAUAGAGACAGGGAAGGCCAUGGCUGCAGGCAGGAGAGUGAAAACAAAGCACAGGAACAAACCAUCUCUUUUAAUUCACAAGACAAACAUGCAAGCAACGACAAGAACACACAUGUGUCUCAGUGAAGCUGGAGGCAGUGACAACAUUUCUGCUCAGUUUAUGUCUGGGUUGAAAAUGUAUAUGCACAAAUUGCUUUGGAACAUUAACCCAUAUUUUUUUUUACAGCUGUUAAGGUGAUUUUAAAUGAAUUUAAAAGGCCAAAAAUUGCUUUGUUCUGUUUUGUGACUGUGUACAAGAAUGAAGGGGAAAUCUCUCAAGGUCUGUACAUUUACUCUCAUUUCACAGCAAGCAUUACAUGAGGAAAUGUGUGUGAUCAGACACACUGGUUCCUCUUUGCUUUGUA